rnacentral:ncRNA from 1 species
GAAAAGGCAAUGAAGAGAAAUAGUACAUAUACAAUGAAUUUCAGAGAGAAGAUGGUUGGUGCGAAUCUUUAUUUUAGUAUAUCGAAGCAGUCUCGGAGCUUUGAACCGAAUAAUGGUUUCCCUGAUACCAGGGAGAUGGUUUAGUAGGCUUCAACGUAUUCCCACGUUACAGGGGCACGAUAUGCUUGUAUCGUAGAGAGUGCAGAGAUUUCUCUGAAUUUAGGUGGUAACACGGAUUGUACAUUCGCCCUAAAC